UACGGAGGGUGCAAGCGUUGUCCGGAAUCACUGGGCGUAAAGGGCGCGUAGGCGGCUCAUGAAGGCUGUGGUGAAAGUCCGGGGCUCAACCUCGGAUCGGCCGUGGCGACUCGUGGGCUGGAGCACUGUAGAGGCAGGUGGAAUUCCGGGUGUAGCGGUGGAAUGCGUAGAGAUCCGGAAGAACACCAGUGGCGAAGGCGGCCUGCUGGGCAGUGGCUGACGCUGAGGCGCGACAGCGUGGGGAGCGAACAGG
rnacentral:rRNA from 1 species